GACGAACGCUGGCGGCGUGCCUAAUACAUGCAAGUAGAACGCUGAAGGAGGAGCUUGCUUCCCUGGAUGAGUUGCGAACGGGUGAGUAACGCGUAGGUAACCUGCCUGGUAGCGGGGGAUAACUAUUGGAAACGAUAGCUAAUACCGCAUAAGAGUAGAUGUUGCAUGACAUUUGCUUAAAAGGUGCAAUUGCAUCACUACCAGAUGGACCUGCGUUGGAUUAGCUAGUUGGUGGGGUAACGGCUCAACAAGGCGACGAUACAUAGUCGACCUGAGAGGGGGAUCGGCCACACUGGGACUGAGACACGGCCCAGACUCCUACGGGAGGCAGCAGUAGGGAAUCUUCGGCAAUGGACGGAAGUCUGACCGAGCAACGCCGCGGGAGUGAAGAAGGGUUUCGGAUCGUAAAGCUCUGUUGUAAGGGAAGAACGAGUGUGGUAGUGGAAAGUUCACGCUGUGACGGUAUCUAACCAGAAAGGGACGGCUAACUACGUG
rnacentral:rRNA from 1 species